rnacentral:lncRNA from 1 species
GAUUUCCUCCCGGCCCCCGCCCUCCCACAGCCCUUUGCAGGACGUGCAACAGGGUUGUGGCUCGUGUGUUCGGUCUCUGCCUGCUGAAACCCCUUAUGGGAGGUGGAGCAUGCAGACGGACGGGUGCAGGAGCCAGGGUGCAAAAGCUGGGGCGCUGGGCUUCCAGCCCCACGGCAGUGUCCAGGGGCAGGAUCCCGUGAUUCCCGGAGCCCAAAUGGGCGUGUGUUACAGUGUGCUCUUUUAGCCUUACCAUCAGCUGACGGCUUAAGUGUUAACCAGCUCAAUAGACCCUCUGCCUUUUUGCAAGCGCAGAGGGUCAGUGUGACAGUUUCUGUAUCUCAGCUCUUGUCUCACCUCCCAGAAGAAUCAGGUCACACAUGGACUUGAAGGAUGACGGGCCUGUCUAAUUGCAGGAAAACAAACUCAGGGCUCCCACUGAUUCUACAUUACGAACACCAGAGACUGGGUAAUUAAUAAAAAGAAGAAAUUGAUCUGGCCUACAGUUCUGGAGCCUUGGAAGUCCGAGAUCAAGGAGCUGCAUCUGAUAAAUACCUGGAGUGGGAUUGCUAGAUCACAUGGAAAACACAGAUCCUGGUGCCGAACAUGAGGACAGGGCAGGCCGAAGGAGAAAGUGGAAGGAGGGGAGCUUCUCUCUCAGCCUCAUCCUUCUGGGCCUGGAUGCUGGAGAGUCAUGAGGUGCUUCAGAGUACUCUGGGUGAGGAGGGAAAGAUGGUGCCCACCACAUGGAGGCCAGCCUAGGUCUUGUAUGAAACCUGUGAGCUAGCUGAAAGCAGAGAACCCAGCAGAGGAUUCUGGGAAGGUCCUGGGGGAUGGCAGAGCCAGCAGAGAGAGGGUAUGGAUCCACCAGGCAUAGGAUGGAACAGAGCACUAUUGACCACAGUGAACUGGGGCAUGGGCAAUCAAUAAACACAUAUUAGAUUAAGCUAUUGAGACUCAGGGAUUUUUAUACAACUGACAUUCCCUAAGAAGCCAUGAUCUUCCUGUCUCAGGAGGUGCAUAAGCAGUGGUUGAAUGUUCAACAGUCAAGAAUGUUAUAAAAAGAGGUUCUUGGGAGAGUGGACCUGAUGGCCAGCAAAAAUCAUAGCUCACAUUUAUUGAGUUAUUAUGGCUCAGGCAUGUGCACAUAUUCUUUUAUUUAAAUCUACAAUAUGCUUUAUCAUGCUCAUUUUAUACAUGAGGAACACAAGGCAUGGAGAGGUUAGAUAACAUGCCUAAGAUCAUGAAGCAAGCAAGGGGGAGAAAAGAUACCCUUCUCACUCCUUCCAGACAGCUCACUUCACCACCACUCCCCACUGUCUCUAAAGCAAAAGUUAUUUGAAGGCUUAGGGACUGGUUUGGUAUUAUCCAUGCAGGGCGGUUUGUUUUGUUUUUCUUUUAAAAUUUCAGCCUAUGCUUAAAAGAUUUCAUGUAAAAAUUCUGUUUUCUAGUUUCUCUUGAAAAUUAAGAAGAUCUGGUAAAACUGGGCUUGAAGACCAUUAUGGUAACAGGCUGCUGAAGCUGAGGAGAGGGCCCCUUCAGAUGGGCAUAAGCACUGCUCCCCCUCCCCAACCCCCCUUUUAGGUUACUAUCAGACUCUGGAAGCUUCUGAAUGUGUGAACCCUGAAAGAGUCCAUCUAAAGCUAAGUUCUCCCCAGGGGUAGAGCCCAAUGCUGGGCAUACAGUAGGG